rnacentral:rRNA from 1 species
UACGGGGGGGGCAAGCGUUGUUCGGAAUUACUGGGCGUAAAGGGCGCGUAGGCGGCCUUCUAAGUCGGACGUGAAAUCCCUCGGCUUAACCGAGGAACUGCGUCCGAUACUGAAAGGCUUGAAUCCGGGAGAGGGAUGUGGAAUUCCAGGUGUAGCUGUGAAAUGCGUAGAGAUGUGGAGGAAUACCGAUGGCGAAGGCAGCCCCCUGGGAUAACACUGACGCUCAUGCACGAAAGCGUGGGGAGCAAACAGG